UGUUUGUUUCACUAGUUAUCCCUCAUUAGAAAGGUGGUUCUAGCUAAGAAUAUCCACCAUCUUCUACAAAAUGUCAGGGACGUGUUCAUUGCAAAACAAUAGUUUGCAAUAGCCUACUACAAAUACUGCAUCCUCACAAAAGAGCAUUAUUUUUUGAUAGCUUUCACAUAGUGUGUCUGUUUUUCUGUUGGCAUGAUGUAUAGUGGAAGAUCAGAAGACGUGGGCAGGAGUUGUGAGCGAAGGCAAUGCCCAGAGGAAGGGCAUCAUACCACAAUAAUAGUUG